AAACUUUUCAGCAAUGGGGA
rnacentral:rRNA from 1 species